GGAGGGCGAGCCAUGGAGGCUGCCAGCGGCGACGAUGUCGCGGUGUACGAGCGCGACGUCUCCGCCUCGUCGACGGUGCGAUUCCCGGCGCGGCGGCCUCAAUCAGCGGAGCUAAAGAUGAGCUCAGGCAGUGACGAGAACGCCAGUAGCGCCACCAAGCUAUGGCAGGUCAGAUCACUCCUCUUUCUCUCCUCUUUCUCUCGUAGCUAGGCCAGCCAGUGGCACUGCGGCAUUCAUUCAUCCGUCCAUCCUCGGAUUCCUCCGAAAAUCCGUUGGAAGAGAGAAAUUUCUCGCCAGUCCUCUGUUCUUCGCGUGUGAGAGGAGUAAGUAGUACGAACGAGAGGCUUUCUCGAUGCUGGAGCCCGUACCUCCAUCAUCCAAGAGAGAAAACUAAGCAUCAGUACUGUGCGUCGAGAGCAUGAGAGCUAUCAUCUCUCACAUAAUCCUUUGAGAGCAAUCAUCCCUCCCAUAAUCCAUUCUCGAGUCGCGUGAGCGUCCCCAUAGAAUUCUUUCGUCCCAUACUUCUCGCGCUUAGAUCUUUCCUUUUUGUUCUCGAUCUCUCUCUUCUCACAGGUUUAUCUUUUGGGAGGAGUUAUGGUUGGGCGGUGGGCUUGGGCUCGCUGGAAGGAGAGGAGCUCCAGAGGCCUCGGCGGGCAUGCUUGAAUCAAUCGGUUAAAACCCUGCGUCCUGGAUGAGAGGCAAGCGCUUUUUAUUCUAGACGCCUUCUAGACAGACAGCGUAGCUGGCCACUACGAUCAUUCUCGUUUGAUACGCGAGUCUUAAAUCUACUUUGUGGUAAUUAACAUGGAUCUUCCAUAUGAAUACGAGGAUCAUCACCACCUUUCAUCCACAAAGCUUACAAUGUUUUACCAGUAAGUUUAACAUUGGGAGUGGUAAAAUCAUCAAGACAAGACAAUGUAGCUGUGGGGGAGUGCUGGAAAAAUCCAAUCGUGUCAGCUUUUUCUAUGUUCGUUGCUCGUGAUUGUCGACUUCGCACAGGUUCUUUCUAUGUUUCGCGGAUGAUGAUUGGACUGGGCUGGACGAUUGACAUCAUAGAUUGUUGCGAAGAACUUUUGGAGAGAAAAGAUCUGCGAGACGACAAGAUGACAAAUGUAAGAGUGCCCAGCUUCGUACACAAGAAAAAUCCAAUAAUGCGGUAUCCUUUGCCAGGGACAACUCGAAUCACGCUCCACUUUGGAUCAUCAUAUCGAGAUUCUCACUCGUAACAGUUUGUUCCGCGAGGGAUUCGAAGAUUCCGACUUCUUUUGCAAAAACAAUAGCUCUUAAGACAAACCGUAAGCACAAGGAAGAUGAUUCAUACAAUACAGGGAUCUACAAAAACUCUACAAGAGAACCGAGUGACCAGAAGAACAAAACUCUUUGGUUUUCUAGCUAUAUGCCCAGUCGCAGUGUGUGCUCUUCUCUAAGACGGUCACUCCAUCCAUAGUGCCAUUUAAGUAACGAAGGGGUCGAUAUUGCUACCACGAUUGAUCUCAUUCGAGCAGCGGGACUGUGCCACCGGCAGCAAUGAUCUUCUCCUCCAGCUGAAAAUCAUGCAAGGAGCAGCGUCAUUAGCUCUGCGUGAAACAAAAGUGUCCGAGGCACUUACUUGGAGCAGUGCCUGGAGUCUCGUCUUGACAAGGAAAAAUUCGCGCUUUACUUGUUGCAGACAUUGCCAGCAGCUGAAGAGACAUAACAAGAGAAAAGCCAUGCGUUAGAACGCGAGAGAUCGAAGCUGUUCAUUUAGCGUACCCGUCCCGGUUUUCCUCUUCGCAGUAGGCACGAAAAGCAACGCACAAUGCCUUGACACGGGCAGCUCCAAUGCUGACAAACAUCCAACACGAUAAGAACACUAGAACGAACAGACAAUGCUGGUUUUUGGAUCGAGAAUACCUGGCACUACUCCCCUUGAACUGAUGAACGUACGCAUCGAUCUGCUUGAAGUUCAUCGGAUUGUGCUCACUGUGGACGAAGGAAGAGAUAAACGAGUUAGAGCGAAAGUACAAAACGUAAAGCAAGUGGAAGGGGGAAAAAACCACGCUAAGUUACUCCACCGUACAAUGUCUUUGACAAAUCAUUGAGCAGCUUUUCCGAGUCCUCGAAGAACAAGGACACCACUUCGGCCACGAAGUCGGGAUUUGUGGGAUCCUGGAGCUGCUGGAGUUGCGAGAACUGAUCGUCCAGGAGAUUCUGCGAAUGCGAAUGAAAGAGCGAGCGUUACACAAUUGUCGCUAGAUUCUAGAGUGAUUCCCAGCACCAAAUUUUGCUAAAGGAUCCCUCCUCCUACCUCCUGAAACGACGCUUGCAUCAGCUCCACAUACUGGCGCUGCAGCAUUCCGGGAUCCAUCGCCAAGCCAAGAACGGGAUUGAGAAGAAUGCUAAGAUUAUCGAUUCCUGUCGACGAGACGACGGCGAUCCACGGCGCCAAGAGCAAGCGGACAAGCGCGAAUUAUAUACCCCUGCGCAUUCGAUCGGAGGGAGAGAGAUAGAAGAGAGAGAGCGCCAGGCAGCGAGACAGGUAAUCAAAACCCUAGCGCCAUAGCCAUGCUUGGAUUGAUUCUCAGUAGGUGAAAAACAAAGAAGCAAGAGAGGAAUUUACCACGCUGUAAAUCACGUUACUACGGCGGGAGUUGAAAACUACAGUAGUAUUUAUAUGGGGGGAUUUGGCUCAUACGGUAGAGGAUUCGUCGCAAUCGUCGGAUUUGGUAGAAUCGACUGAUACCAGCUCGCCACGUAUCCGGUUGAAAUCCGUCUGAUCUAAGAGAUCGAAUGCCGGCCGUUGAUGUGAACAUCUAACGACAUCAUGCAGAAUAUUGCGUGACAGGUCAUAAUGUGCGGAUAUUGUCAUGACACGUGUCGGCUGUAUAAUGGCUCCUCAGUAUCCAACGGCAUGCGGUGAUGGACGAAUCCAGAUCGUAGAUCCCCGGCGAUCCAACGGCGUUCGAAAUGCGAUUUUCUUACGAUCAUGAUGACAUCACCAUUAUCGGGAUUUUCAUCAAAUCCAUUAUCUGGCGGCCGCCGGCGAAUCUUCCGGCGAAUCUUCAUAAUGCCGGCGCUAAAUCAUUACACACCUGUUACAUUCCGCCGAGAUUGUGCAUCCAAGCCGUCCGAUCUUCCAAUUAAAAUUGUCUAGCAUUUAUACAAGGCACAAGUAAAAGAUCACAAGCUUCUUCACGUUUGAUAGCGCUUCGUAUCGCCGCGGCAGUCCACGCGAAUAAUUACAAUCGCGAUUUGCCACUCUUCACAGGAUCGCUCUGGAGCACAGAAGAUCGAAUUGUUGGUCGAGAGUUAAUACUACAAUGCAUAACGUAGAAAGGAAAAAUAAAACUUACCAGUUUCCCACCCUGUGAUGCUCGUGCUUGGAGGAAUGGCGAUGGCUGGAAGAACUUCCCAUACGUUUCAGACCACUCCUUCAAUUUUGAUGCGAUGUAGCCAGCUCCAAUCAUGUCAGCCCAGAAAACAAGCCCGCCCCUGCCAAUCAAGUCGGAGAUUAGUCGACGACCACUAUCCCACUCAGAAAAACUUUAGUUUGGGACUCACUUAUAUGGAGGGAAUCCCAUCCCCAGCACUGUUGCGAUGUCCAGAUCGGAGGCUUUGACCACCACACCCUCCUCAAGCACACGGCAGGCUUCGUUCACGACGGGGAAGAGUAUCAUCUCAACAAUCUCCUUGUCAGUGAUGUUGAUCGGCUGUUCAAGAACAUGGCAUCACCCAUUAGACUUUCUCGCAAGAGACAAGGUACGGCUUUACCUUGCCACCCGGCAUUAACUUUGCCAAUUGUCUCGACUUGUCGACAUACCCUUGCAGCUCUGGAGCCGGACGUGGCUUACGCUUUUCGUCGUAUAGAUAAAAGCCCUUGCGAUUGCCUUCGCCUGGCAAGGAAAACGCUUCCUCAGUACAGACAGCUAAGAACAGAAUAGAAAACAUACCGAGCCGCUUGUCCGAAAACAUCAGAGGGAAUAUCUGAGACACAUAAACACGUUCUGGAAAAGAAUUCAAGUAUUGCUGUCCCACGGCAACAGCCACACCAAAACCGACGAAAUCGGCCAGCCUACAGCAGCAGACGACGAGCAUGAAUAGUAAGAAAAUAGUAGAGUUAAAGAAAAAGUACCUGAAAGGUCCCAUAGGCAUCCCAAACCCUGUUAUAGCACGAUCAAUUCGAUACGGAUCAAUUCCCAGGUCCAGUAGCAUCGUUGCUGCCUGCGUAUACGGGAAAAAGACCCGGUUGACGGCAAAACCGGUACAGUUGCCCACAACUACGGGAAUUUUCUUUAUUGUCUUGCCAAGGGUCAUCAGAUCAAGUAUCACUUGUGGUGAUGUUUUCUCCGUCCGCACUACCUCCAGUAGUGGCAUCACAUGCGCAGGACUGGGCCGAGCAAAAAUAUUAAUCGGAAAUUUGAAACACUCUAGCUCACGUACCUGAAGAAAUGUGCACCAAUAAUCCGAUCUUGUGCCUUAGUUUUCGAGCCAACGACAUUCAGAUCAAUGGUUGACGUGUUGGAGGCCAGUACGCAACUUGGAGAGCAAAACUUUUCAAGGUCUGCAAAAAUCUGUUGUUUCAAACCAACGUUCUCAACCACAGCCUACAGAACGCGGGUUAGAAACGGUAAAGAUGGUUCGUCCAAACACGCACCUCAAUCACCACAUCAACGCUACCAAACUGUUCAUAAUCCAAAACACCUUCUACCAGUGAGAUAGCCCUCUCGAAUUUAUCCUUGCUAAGCUUGCCUUUCUUCACACGGCUUUGCAGGUUGCCUGAAAAAGAACUUCAAAGCCAUGAGUCAUGCACGGUUGGGAAAAUCUUGACUAACCUUUAACACGAUUUAGACCUUGCUGCAAAAAAUCGGAAUUCACUUCCUUCAGAACAACUUUGAUGUUGCUUAGUAUAAGCGCUGUGACAAUUCCUGAACCCAUGAAACCUCCACCAAUCACAGCCACUUUCUUUACAACUUUGGGUUUUAAGCCCACGUCUGUGACACCUGGGACCUGCCAAGCCAAAAAGGAAAGCUUGCAACAAUGAUCAUUUGAUCAAUGCAUGACGUGUACCUUUGAGGUUGACCUCUGAGCAAAAAAUAUAUGCGUGAGGGACUUGGACGCAUCUGAAAAUAAUGCUUCUUGAAAUGCUUUCUCCUCCUGCGAUAGAGAAAAACUUGUCAGGAUGCAACAAAAUGAAAUCUCCGAAAACAGACCUUCAAAAGCCCCGCAAAUCCGCCUUUUACAAUACCUUCUUCAAUCGCAUCAAGACAGACGUGCGGGUGUGUUAGUUUUGGUGCGGUUUUCAUUGCCUGAGCUCUUGCGAAUUUCAAGAUUUCCCGAGCUUCGCCCAGAGGUUCUAGUUUGUCAGUUUUGUGCAAUGUAAUGCACCAUGGCCUGCGUCCUUCAGCGAUAUCAACAGCCACUUUGCGUGCUGUAGUAAGCACAGCCUCGGCAGGGACGAGUUCAUCUACUAGUCCCAACUCCUUUCCCUCUUCCGACGUUACCGGUUUUGACAACUACAGCGAGAUACCGAGUAUCGGUUUACGACCUUCAAAAACAUUAGUGCUACUCAUACCAGCAUCAUUUCGAUAGCCUUUGUCAAGCCAACAAGACGAGGAAGGCGUUGCGUCCCUAACAUUGAUCAUUGAGGUUCACAAACUUAGGAAUGUACUGGCAAGUUACCUCCAAAGCCCGGAAUGAUACCAAGUUGCAGCUCUGGUAGACCCAGCUGCGCUUUUGGAGCUGCCACUCUAGCGUGACAACACUGACAAAAGCUCGGUGAUCAGCAUCCCACAAGAUAAAUAACGAAAAACACUGUACCAUGGCGAGUUCCAGUCCACCACCCAAAGCGAGUCCUUGAAUCGCUGCCACGGAUGGUUUCCCCGCCUCUAAACACCAUAGACAACGUACAAGAAUUGCGGCAUUCAAAUCAGCUUCAAGCAAACAAGAUACCUUCGAUGAGCUUAGUCAUGAGAUCCACAGAGAUGCGUCCCAAAGCCGACAUAUUUCCUGUCGGAUCGGAAACGUUAGACAAUAUUUCCCCGCAAAAUGGUAAACUAGUGAGGUCACGUACCACUCGCUUGAACAUCUUGGAUCGUGGAGAUAUCAAAACCUCCAGAGAACUUUCCAUUUGCACCUACAAGAUCAUCAAAAUUCUAACUUGAAGCUCCUUCGUAUACAUAGAAAAAAACAAAGAAUGAAUUACCAGUGACAACGAUUGCUUUGACAUCCUCCCUGGAGCAAGCUUCCUCGUACUUUUCCUUCAAACCCCACAACACUGGAUGGAAGAACAAAGAUAGUCAUGAAUCGCAAUAGGCAGCUAGAAAGUUUCGACAAAAUUCUACCUGGCAUCGCGAGCGCAUUGACGGGAGGAUUCCGGAGCGUGAUCACAGCAACCUUAUCCGCCCCAACCUCGAGGGAGACGCCAGGCCGUGCCAUAUCGCUGGAUCGGGAUAGAAUGCCGCCUGUCGCGCAGGAUUGGCAGCUCGAUCGCUGGAAGAACCCUAGCUCCCGGCCAAGGAUCGCGCCAAAAGAAAUGUAGAGCUUGCUUAACCCUACAAGUGUAUUGCAUAAAUGGAGCACCGCCGCAGAUGCGAAUAAUAGGCGUGUGUCAGAUAAGAAGGCCCCAAAAUAGCAACCAUGGCCGUGAUGAGCCUCGAACCAAGGCACGUUUUCAAGAGUGAUGCAAACUUACUGCAUGGAAAACAAUGAGACAACUUCACACGUUAUAAGAUUGACAUGAAAAGAUUUGAUAGUUAUCCAUGAAUCUAUCACACUAUUUAAAAACAAUGCAAUGUACAAAGACAGAUGAAAUAAUUUGAUACAUGGUCUUCAUGAAUAGAAAAGUAUAAGAUUCUGUCACACUAUCCUCAAACUUCCUUUUGCUUUACGAGGAUUUCUAUGAAGCACGAACUUUACUUUGCCUCCACUGCUUCGUCUUGCGGUGGAGGAUUUUCUUGUGGAGCGGCAGCUGCUUCUUCGGCCGGUGGCGAUUGUUCUUGAGGUGGAGGUGGCUGUUCUUCCGCCGCUAGUUGAGGCUCUGGCUCUGGUGGCGGCGGCGGUGGGAUCAAGCUUACCGUCUUGCCGGUCUUUUUAAUCUUCUUGAGAACGAGCUCCGGAGUGAUAUCGCCGGUGAUGAUCACCUUCUUCUCCUGGAAACUUAUCUUAUAAGAAGUUACUCCUGGAUAAUAGAGACAGGAAGAUACGUGACGCGUUACGAGAGCUCCUGUUUUCUUACCAUCGAGUUUGCUGAUUGCCUUCUUCACGGCUCUGAAGCACCCUUUGCAAUGCAUUGACACCAUCAACUCCACAGUCACAGCCUGCGAGUGGCAUUCAUUGUUACAAAAACAAAGCAAAAUUAAAAACUCAGACUACCUCUCCCAUUUUUGACUUUGCCUUUGCUGGAAGGAGGAGUUGAAUUGAAGUUCCUCAGGGAUCGAUAGCACAGAACAGGCCACCUGGUUUAUAAAAGAAAGGAAAACGAAAAAGAGAAAACUACUAUCCAGAGCCAUGGCUUUUCUCCUUUCCCCCUUUUUGACGAACUGGUGAGGAAAAAAACAACUCUCACCACAUUAUUUGGAGCGAGUGGAAGUGGUCGGCGCUGCCGUAUCAUUGCCGGACGCAUCUAUCAAGUUGGACAUGGCAAACAACCUUCGUACAAGAUUCCAACACAUCCAAGUUUCGACAAUAUUACCCGAAAAGAUAUAGGAACCCGUCGAUCCUGCUGCAGCUGUCAACUCGUUUCUCACAAAAAGGGAAAAAAUCAACAAACAUCUUCGCGACAAGAACCUGCUAUGUUUCUCAAUAUUGACUUUCAUGUAAGUACGCGCAGCCAAAAUCGUGCUACGCUAAAAGGCUUUUCCGUCCCUGCCAAAAACCACGGCUUUCGAAAAAUUGAAACGUCAAGCUUUCAAAGUACCUUCUACGAGUGCUGUGCGGGUAAGAACUUUACACGUAAUUCCGAGCUCUAUGCGUGGUAAAUAUAUAGCUCCUGCGUAUGGAGUUUACCAUGGCCCGUAGCUGAGUUCUCAGGCUUUGAACGAGUCGAGAAUUGUUCUCAGCACGCUCUCCGAUUUGGACCACUGUGAUUCGCUUGCGCUCACUACAAAGAGCAGGACCACAUUACCUUUAGACGUCGCAGCUGCCAAGUUGUGAGCGCCAGUCUUUGCGUAUGGCGUCUCAAGCGUGUAGCAAUAGAACUGUGAAAGAAAGCUCGUAAGUGAGGAAAGAACCAAACGAAAGCUCACUUUUUCUCCGUCUCGAUCCUUCACGGAGGUUUCAAUCACUUCAUCGGGGUCGUAGCUGUUCCCGGUGACAAAAGGUCCCAACGCAGCUAUGAGCUUCUCGGGACUGCCAAUCUCGUCGAUCCUGGCGUUUGGUUUGUUUGUAAGCCGGACCAUGGGAGCUGCCACCACUUGCAGGCUCCCUUCCUUGUCAUCCUCAAACUUGACUUCCACCCAAGGCUCGGCACACUUUGGCUGGCAAUAAUUCCCAGACAAGAUGUUUGCGAUUCGCUGCUGCUUCCAAGUCGAUGGGAGAAUAAACUCGUAAGGCUGAACGUUCCCUGAGAUGGAAGAAAAAAAAACGUUUUAGCGCUCAGGAAUCGAAAACAAAGAUAGAAACACAAGAGAGAGGAAGAUUUGAAGGUCUUUCUUAGGCUCACAGUAGAACAAGACCAUCGUUUCACUUACCGGCGCGAAGAGCUGGAGUAUCUCUGCCAGAAGCCUUGAAUUGCACGAAUCCUGGAAGGGACUCGACCGGGGGAAGAUAGGCUCCCACUUCGACCUCUCUGGCCAGUGCAGACGUUUGAUUCACAGCCAGACCCAUCGCCAGCGUGAACCCGACCAACGCGACGCUCUUCCUCCGCGAAAUCACGGUCGCCGCCCUUGGAUUCUCCUGCGCGUCACAUCUAUAGCGACGGUUUCUUUUUCCACUCCAGAGCAAGCAUGCCGCCUUACCUGAUGGCGCUGCUGCUAGCAUUGAGCUGCAACGGCGUAGCUCCCAGCAGCGUCCACGGCACCACGGCCCUCAUCGCCAUCGCCAAACUAGAACCCUAAAUGCCCGAGCAAACAAAUUUAAAAUUUAAAUCUGUUUCGCGCUCAAAAGCAGUGUCAAGCCUCUACUUUGCUUGGCAUUGGAAGCAUUUGGGAAAGGGACCAAAGCUACGGAUGUUCUCGAGAAGAGUGGAGAUCGCGGACCAUCCUCCAAGUCCCACACCCGCGAUCAAAACCCAUAACACAACAGCGAGAUUGAGGCAGUAAAUUCCGACCCAGCUCGGCAUAAAAAAUGGAGGCUGCUCGAUCGCGUCCUACAAAACCAAACCUUUCGAGUCAUAUCGAUCGAGCACAAGAACACCCACACACACACACAGAAAAAAUGAUAAAGAUAGAGCAUUACCUUCCUCGCGGUGAAUGUUUUGUGGAGGACCAUAUGAGCCAAGCACGGGAUAAUGUAGACGCUGAAGCUCGUGAAGAUCGAUCCAACAAUGGAGUCGAUGAGCCCCGUGAAGGGUGUCAUGAUCGCGAAGAACCAGACGAGCAGUACCACUGGAAUCCGGGACACCGCCUUGAGCCAGUAGUUUUUGGACCUGUGGAUUCCCAGCAGCUUCUCCCACUUCAUAAAAAUGGGGAGCGCCAUGAAGCCGAACUGCAUGAACUGGAGGUUUGUGCGAGCUUAGAGAUCCAUACCAAAGUUUUGGAAAAUUUUACCUGGUGGAAGAGCAUCAAAACGUUUGCUGCAACGUGAAACUUGGAGCGUGGAAGAACCGCGAGUGCGUAAGUGUUGUGGAGCAUCGUGUCUCCAAAGGCCCAGUACAUUGCGAUGGCCGAUGGCAGCGUGAGAGUUAGGAUGUAGAGAAUGCAGUAGAAGUAGACCACCUUAAAGUUCUUUGGCUCUCGCAUCGCGUCGGCUAUCUCACUGCUCGAUAUCGAUAUUAAUCAGUGUUUUGAGAGACUAAAAAAUGAUAAAGCGUCUGCUACUACUUACAUGGUAAUCGCGUGUCCCCCGAAUGCGUAGAGCAUGUUGGUCGCUCCAACAAAGUACUGUACUGUGCUGGGUGGAGCCGUGUGCUUGACAUCGGGUUCCUGUUUAGAAGCUUACCGUGAUUGUUCUCAAAGUUAGCAAAGAGAACACAUAAGCGAAAGGGCCGAGUGACUCACUGGACCGAGGAGUAUGCUAGCGAUUGUCAAGUACCAAGCAGUGUAGGUGGUCGCCACAAUCCCGAUGGAGGACCAAAUUCUGUAGUGCUGCGCCCGUGGUAUCAAAACCAUUGUUAAAAAGCAGCCUGUGAGGACAAGCGUCCAAGUUCUUUUGUUGAGAUGAUGGUUGAGUGAAUGUGUGAGACUGUUCAUAAGACAAAAUCGUAUUUUUUUGUCAGAAAAAAAGAAGAAAAUGGAGUUAAUUUACCUUGAACAUCCUACAAGGAAGAUAACGCAGGUGAGAAACUGAUCACCGGUGUUGAAGACUAAGCCCGCUAUUUUCCACCGCCAUCCCAAGAGUCCGUCCAUCACCUCGUACCACUGUAAGGAAUCAAGGAAGAGGAUGAGCACUAGAAAACAAAAGAAUGGCGCAAGGCGAAAACCUCAACGAAGCAUUGCCUGGAUGCUCCGAUAUUCGUGGCAAUCCAUGGGGUUUUUUUGCUUCGCUCGUCGCUCCUUGUAAAUUAUGUAGAGACUGGUUGUCAUGUAACACGACCAGCAGCCCAUGGCAGCAUAAAGUAGCUGGUAUAAAAUCCCCGAGACGAGUCCCAAUUGCGCGAAAGAGUAGGGGAAUGUGAGAAGAACCUGGGAAAUCUGCAAGGAACCACAAACGAACAAAUUUAGUACCAGAGAUUCGCCACAGAAACAAGACACAGUACCUGGAACGAAGAGGCAUUGAGCCAAGCAUCGAAGGUAGAAGUGCCGUCCAAGAACAAGUAGUAGAGCCAUGCUGUCCUAGAGUUUGAGUUUGCCAUGACUCCACGCCCUCCACGACAACAAUGCUUAUAAGGAUCUGUAGACGAUUUCCAGUUUAUGAGUCUGACUUCAUUGAAAAAUCAAUUCCAAUCUUCGUGGCAGUCCCAAACAACAGUAGCAGAAGAAAGAGUCAAGUUUUCCUUGCCUAAUUCAUUCUGUCUGCAGGAAGAGAUUUAACUUAAUGCCAGCAGUUCUAUUCCGUCCAAAGAAGUUGUAGGUGGAAACAACUGUAACAAGAUAAACAAGGGAUUCGUCAGAAUUUCCGCGAACGAGUAACCGAGAACAUUCAUGAAAAUAUAUACCCUCUGGGAGUCUAUAGCCGACAGGGUCUUCCCGUAAGUUCGCUCGUCAAAGAGAAUGCGAAAGAUCUGCAAGAGUUAUUUUUGCCUUCAAACGCCGAAUCAUCGAUAGCUACAGGGACUUACAAGUGAUGCGACAUCGGUCCUGGAUAUGAGCCCCACCACGCUUGAAUUCUCUGUCAAGAUUCCAUUUCCCGAUGGCGCCUGUUGUGAAUAGCGUGUAAGGAACAGUUUGACGGAAAAACUCUCCUCACAUCGUUGUUCAAGCCUCCAGGGCGAAUGAUGGUGUAGUCCAAGCCACUGGAUUUCAGAGCUUCCUCGGCAACGGUUUUUGCUUUUAGGACUUCACCCAACGUUGCUAAAGUCUGAAAUGCAGAAAAGUGUAAAAGAAAUCAGCUUCUUCAGUUUCGUUGACAGGAAAAAUUCCUACCUUUGCAUCGAUGGCUUUUUCACUAUCUCCAGCUCCAAUGCUGGAUACCUGGAAUGGAAACAAGAUGUUUUGUGCCAUUGCUACGCAUAAAACUUCCCUACCAUGAUAAACCGCUUAACAUUUGCUUUCUUUGCAGCAUUGAUCACAUUAAUUGUGCCAUCCUAUCAGAUUUACCGUAUCACAGAAACAUGCUUAGAAUUCGUAGAGUUAUAUACCUGGUCCACCUUCACGUUUUGAGUUCCUCCACCUACAAGAGUUGUGAAAUAAAAGAGUCAAAGCCUGAGAAUGUUUGCUUCUUUUUUUACCAACAGUGCAGACAACCGCAUCAAACGAGUUUGAUCUGAAGGCCUUCUCCACUGUCAAUGGUUCAAGAACAUCGCCAAUAGCCAACAUUGAUCCCAGCCCCUCCACUUCUUUGCGGAACUUUUCACUUCUUUGGAAGACGGUCACCCAUGAACCGGCUUUGGCAAGAUCUCUCGUAACGGCCAUUCCAACACCACCCCCGCCGACAACCAGGACUGCCAGAAUUGAAAACGUCAGUAACAUCCUUCUCAAGAUUGUCACAAACAAACCAGUAGCAUUGUCAAUGGUAGGCUUUUCUGCUACUUGAGCUCUAACUCGCACACAGGGUGUCCUUCGUUUGGCAAUCACAUUCUUCUGUCCACUUGCACAACUUCGUCUUGCAAGUGAAAACCUUCGGCUUUCUACAGCUGCAUUGCCUUGUUGAUGAGAGGAAAAAAAAUAAAAAUAAAAUCUACAAAGAAUACAUACCAGUGACCCGAGCAGAAACCAAAUUGCGCCUCUCCAAACAGGCGUUUGCACCUGCGUUGCAAGGGAGAGCACUGGAGCAAAUGACGCAAGAUAUAAAACCAAAGAGAACCUUUGUUCACAAUACAGGGCAGCGAAGGCGAUGAGGUACACGCCAUAGCUGCAUAUGAACCCUAAGCACCAAGUGAAAUUACCGAGAUUAGAUUCAUGAGUCCUCUUCGCACGCAUACAGUGUUGGAAAAACUUUUUUUUUGUUUUGUUGCUGCAGGAAGAAACGACCAACGUUAGUGUAGAACGCCAACCAUCAAGUUUUUGGAUCCUCUUCAAGCUUCUGAGUUAUAGCUGUUGGGCCUAUCAAUCCAUAUCCACCUUCCUUGCGCUUGUACAAAACAUUUAUCUCGACUGAAACACAUGGUAAGAAGAAAGGAGGAUUAAAAAAUGGCGGUAACUUACGAGUUUUAACAUUCCGGAAUGCGUAGAAAUCAUGCCCAAUGUUCUUCAUUUCCUCUAGUGCAUCCUCCGGCCGCAUAGGAAGCAUGUCAAAAAACUUCUCUCUAAUAAUCUGUGAAGUUCCUCAUAAGAAAAAAAACCAACAUGUUCUUUGCUUACCUCCGUUUCUACUGCCAGGUCUUCGGCCUCUGCGACAACAUCUUCAAUCUCCUCGUCGUUGGUUGGAAAAGGAGGAAUCGGUGCUUUGUCUAGGGAUUGAAUUCGACCUCUGGAACGGAGGCGUCCAUGAAGUCCUAGUUUAUCUUUGAGCUUGAGAAGUUUCUUCCCAAGAAGCCGUGAUGCAUUAUCAACGCAAGCGUGCAUGUUUCCACCAUCUUCUUCCGCACGAAGAACUCCAUGCUUCUUCGUGAACAAUGUAGCCUAAUAACAAAAGCAAAGCCUUCACGAAGGCCUUGAAAGAAAAAAAAAAGAAGGAAGAACUCAAACCUCACAGCGAUAGAGUCUUGGACCACUCUCGGCUUCUCCACGCAUUGACAAGCGAACAUCCACUUCUCUCACCAUAUGGCUCCUCUCGAUUAUCGCGUCGGCCAUUUUGUCCUCCACAUAGCUCUUGAUAUCAUCAGGAAUCUAGAGAGGGCAAAGGAUCACUAUCGAUCGAUCCAUCUCAAUCUUGGAGGACCUACCGUAAUAUGUCGCCCCUGGAGGAGGAGAGGAAUCGAGGCAAGCUCCGUGCUCCAGGCCUCGGUCGACAUUCUUGCCCCAGGAUUCCACCGCGACUGGAGCUUGAUUCGUUGCAAAGCGGCGGCUGCGACAGCAAUUCUCGGAAGAGCGCCGCAUCCGUGUCGCACCAUCCCGAUCAUCGCUGCGCUGUGGAGAAGAAUCAUCGCCUAGGGUUCUAGCCAAGUGGCAUUCCUCUGCCCUUCUAGGGUUUACAUUUCCAAGGCAUUUCUAGGGUUCAUGCGCGCGAGCGAGGUAAUCGAUCAGCUCGCCGAGUAAGAAUGCUGCGCGCGACAUGGAAUUGGAUCGUAGGACUGGUUUGCGUGGUUUUGGUUGCGGUCAUCUGGAUCGCAGCUAGCUUCGUGGUGCAAUCGGUCGUAGAUAGCGGGAUUUCGCCCUUUCUCAUCGCCUACAUUUGCAACAGCUUGUUUAUGGUUUACAUACCGAUCGUGGAAUUGGUGUGGUGGAUCAAGCGACGCUACGCGGCGCGCAAGACGAGAGAGGCGGCCUCUAAGAACCAUGUUCUUACAAACGCUGAGAAGGCCAAGCUUUUGGAAACUGGUGCUGGAUCCGACAUUGAAAUUGGUGGAUCUUUGGCAGACGCAAGGAACAUGCAAGCUUCCAGUGCCGAGAUCAGUGAAGUUGACCCGGAGGUUGUGGCAGACGCAAGGAACAAGCAAGCUUCCAGUGAACUUGACUCGGAGGUUGUGUCUGACGAAGACGAGAGCUCCAGUUCCACAGCGAGGAGAUUAUUGUCGAGAAGGGAAACCGCGAAGAUCAGUGCUCUCAUCUGUCCGGUGUGGUUCUUCGCGCAGUUUACGUUCAAUCUUUCCUUGAAGUACACGACAGUCACUGUAAGUUACACUUUCUUUGCUCUUAAAACCUCAAGUUUUGAUUUUUCUUCUUUUGAUCGCAGUCGAACACCGUUCUAAGCAGUACUUCGACUUUGUUCACGUUUAUAGCGUCCGUGAUGUUUCUCAACGAGACUUUCACGGUGUUGAAAAUCGUGAGCGUCGUUCUUUGCAUGGCUGGUAGCGCCGUUGUUGCUUUUGGAGACUCCGAGAGCCUGCAAAAAGACUCAGCGCCUCAUCCAGUGGUGGGAGAUAUGGUCUGCCUUUUGUCCGCGAUGCUAUACGCCUGCUAUACGAGCUUGAUACGUAAGAAGUUCCCGGACGAGAACUCCUCCGCGGAAGAAGUUAGCACGGCUCUCUUCCUGGGGUAUCUUGGUUUGUUUAACGCUCUCAUCUUUUGUCCGGUCGUGGUGCUUCUACACUUCACAGGAUUGGAGCCGAUUCACAGGCUCACGGCCACACAAUGGGAACUCAUCGUCGGCAAAGGUCGAGUUUCUAGUGUGCUUUUUUCUUCUCUGACGCGUGUUUUUGUCUCCAGGGAUGCUGGACAACGUCCUGAGCGACUACUUAUGGGCCGAAGCAGUGCUUCUCACGUCCACAACAGUGGCAACGGCUGGACUCACACUCCAAGUGCCAAUAGCAGCGGUGGUCGAUUCUCUUCGUGGACAUGCUCCAGGAACUGUCAACGUUGUUGGCGCUGUGGCUGUGCUGGCGGGAUUCUUUGGCAUCAACCAGCCGGAGAAUUGCUGCUCCACUCAAAGAAAAGCUGCGCCAGGAGAAGAAGCUCGUUUCUCUAGCGAGCAACACUUGGAUGAUCCUGUUGCUGCCACCAGCAAGGAUGGAGUACUCCUGGACCCUGGUAGUACUUGAAAAAAGGUACACGAGGCUCUUUCUUUAAAGUUUUCUUUGGCGCUGCCGCUCGCGCAGAGUGAGUUACUUAUCGACACUAAACGAGGGGCAUGACGUAAGAGCUUGGCAUCCUAAAGCUUUUCUUCUAAUAAACUACAAUGCAGUGAUCCUCGUAAUCGGAAAGAUCAAGAUCAUGGAAACGAAGAAAGGAUCGAGCUACUGGUAGGGGUGUGGACUUUAUAUCUCCCAAGGCAUUGACUUUUCAGCUCGUCGAAUGAAAAGCAUCGAUCGACUGAAAAGAAAAAUCGACAAGUAUGUGACUAUCAAUCACAGGCAGGCGUGAAGCGUAUAUACGGUCACAUCCGAGUGUUUAUACAACCACUAUUUCCACUACUUCCUUCCAUCCAAUCCAAUCCAUCAAAAAUGCCAAUCCAACGAAAGGAACUUUUGCUUUACCCUAGGGCUAGCAACGAAUAAACGAAGGAAGGAAAGCAUGCAUGGGGGCCACUCUCAAUCAAGCAUUUAUACGCCAUCGUUACCGUACUUGUCGUCGUCGUCGUCGUCGCGCGCCAGCAGUUUAACGGCCGUCACUCUUUUGACUAAAUGUAACGUUCGUACGCGAUAUCUUUUGUACGGAAAUGUGCCAAGCGCCGGCCGGCAACGCAAUUAAAACACGUCCGGCGCCUUUAAAGAUUUGGAGGCGGGGUUUGCCCGUUAGAUGGGUCCAUCGUGCGGCUGGGAUGACGCCCGAUGCGGUACGCAAACACGUGGCAUGGAUUUUUUCCGUUACCUUCUUUUAGGCGCAAGGGUAAAUAGGGUAAAUAUGUUCAAAAAAUUAAAAAGGUGGAAUUUUUUUUCUAUUUUUUUGAGCAAAAGAAGGCCUUUGCGAAGCAGGGGAUGAAGACAAAGAGAUAUCGGCAAUCUUUGUUUUCAAGUAGCGUCUCCCAUAAUUCAUCGCUCCGAUUCUUCCUCGUCUUCCAUCGCACAGAGAAGAUUUCCUCCUUUGGCCGGCCAUUCCACCAAGUCGCGCCUCGCGAGCCUCGCGCGAUCGAUCAAUCUGUGUGUCUUGCCAUUGCAUUGCGAUCGAUCGACUGAUUCAUCAUUUCGGUCACGCCAUCGCACCGAGAGCGCUCGACAGCGGCGAGGGAUUUCGCUACCACUCGCUUCGAUCAUCGCUGUCGCCAGAAGACCUAAUCAUUCUCCCAUGCGCAGCAUCGCUUCUUAGAUUUCUCCUCUUGUUCGUUCUUGCGAUUGCUAGGUGGGUGGAGCUCCUGCCAGUUUUCUUCUCUUUCUUGGAUGGGGGCGAAAUAGCUUCUGUCAAUGGAUAGCAGUGAGGAUUUGCUCGACGGCCUGAGCUCCAGCACUAGCUACGACGCCAGAAUUUGCCGCGACGAUCCGGAGGAGCUCCUGGAAGAUUUCGCCAGCACUAGCAGCAGCGAUGCGUCGCCGCUGGGAUGGCCGCUUUGCAGGCGGGAGCGCUCCUAUUCCGAGGUCUCGUGUUCUUCCACCACGAAAUCUGUGAGCACUAGCAGCCUGAAUAGCAAGAGCGUGAGCAGCUUCGCGUGGGAGGAGAAAAGGGUCAAGCGUGAAACCAAUGUCUCUGGUACGUUGGUACUUUUUUAUCGUUCGUUUGUUAAGAAUCCAAUGCAACCACCAUGUUUGCUUGCUUGCUUGUGCUGAGUGUUUCUCCAGUGAGAGUAGUGUUUCGCCACAAAGAUUGGGAGAAGCCAAUCGGAUGAAUGGGAGUCACAAAGUUUUUGGAUGAAUGAGAGUCUUGUGUUUCUCCACAAAGUUUUUGGAUGAAUGAGAGCCUAGUGCUUCUCAAGGUUUUGGAUGAGAGUGAUGUUCUUUUCUAUUCUCUUCGAUCGACAUGACAUAUUUUUUGUUCUUUCAGAAGUAGAGAUGAUGAAGGAGAAGUUUGCGAAGCUUCUUCUUGGAGAAGACAUGUCCGGAGGCGCCAAAGGCGUUUGCACAGCGCUCGCGAUUUCCAACGCCAUCACAAAUCUUGCUGGUAGAGUACUUGAUUUGAGCUCUCUCUUUGUUUUCGUACUCUGGCUUGGCUAUACUUGGUAGAGCUGACGAGCUACCUUUUUUUUUGGUUGGCUUGUUUUUUUUUUUUUCUUCUUCACGAUACAGCGUCCGUGUUUGGAGAGCUUUGGAGGUUGGAGCCUUUGUCUCACGAAAGAAAAACAAUGUGGCGACGGGAAAUGGAGUGGCUUCUCUCCGUAAGCGACUACAUUGUGGAGCUGGUCCCUUCCUGGCAGAGCUUCAGAGAUGGAAGCAAUCUGGAGGUCAUAGCCAGAUCUCUUUUUUCUCCUCUUUUUUCCUUGACACAUGUGCUUUGCAGGUUAUGGUGACCAGGCCUCGCUCAGACAUCCACAUCAAUCUGCCCGCAUUGCGAAAGCUGGACACAAUGCUGCUGGUAAGUCAGCGCCAGAAUUUUGGAGUUUAGAAUGGUUUGUUUUCUUCUUUCUUAGCCAGUCUUGUUUUUGUUGCAUGUAGGAGUCCCUCGAUAGCUACAAAGAGACAGACUUCUGGUAUGUGGAACAAGGAAUCAUUCUCUCCGAGAAAGACGACAGCAACAAGAACAACAACAUGCAGCACUCGCUGCAAAGGCAGGAAGAGAAAUGGUGGCUUCCAACGCCUCGGGUGCCUCCCAAUGGACUCUCGGACGAAGCCAGGAAGAGCCUCCAGAACCAACGAGACUGCACGAGUCAGAUCCUCAAGGCAGCCGUGGCGAUCAACGGGCAAGUCCUUUCGGAGAUGGAGGUCCCGGAUUUGUUCUGGGAAUCGCUCCCAAAGGUACACACUUAAGUUGCAUCCAGCUUUGUCACGGUUUCAUUCUGAAAAGAUGGCUGGUCUCGUGUAGAAUGGCAAGUCCUGCCUUGGAGAGGUGAUGUACCGAGGACUGACAGCCGAAAAGUUCUCUCCGGACGCACUCCUCCAACACUUGAAUCUCUCGACCGAGCACAACGCACUCGAGGCGGCCAACCGAGUGGAGGCCGCCAUCCACAUCUGGCAGCGGAAGAUCCAUCAACAGAAGCACCAGCAAAUACAGCAGCAGCAGCAGCACCACCAGCAGAAAGACAUGAUCAAGCAAAAUGCAAAGUCUUCGUGGGGAAAGGUGAAGGACUUCGUCGCCGAGAUUGACAGGCAAACGCUCGUCGAGAGAGCGGAGAGCUUGCUUCUCAGCUUUAAGCAGCGGUUUCCAGGACUUCCCCAGAGCGUGCUUGACGUGAACAAGAUCCAAUACAACCGGGUAAAGAUCUUUCAAAGCUUCGUUCGAGUUUCUCACGAGAGCUUUCUUUCGUUCUAGGACGUUGGUCACUCCAUUCUGGAGAGCUACUCGCGGGUGUUGGAGAGCUUGGCAUUUAACAUCCUCGCUCGGAUCGACGACGUCUUGUUCAUCGACGACGCUGCCAGACAAGGCCGAAUCAACUCCCCGGCAGUAACAGCAGCAGCUCACUCGAAUCUAAACAGCAGCAUCAUCCGGCGAGGAAGAGCCUCGGGACACUUCCAGAUACGAACUCCAUACGCGACUCCAUUCGCCUCGCCGAAUUGCUCGCCACCUCCAGCGCCGGUGGGCUCGCCAAAGAAGACGAACUCUCCCACGCCACUCGGCAAGGCCGCUGCGGGGCGGUACGGCGGCGUACGGGCGGUCGACGAUCUCGUCGCCCAGAAGCGGUCGUACGCACGGAACAUGAAGCUCGUAAGCCCGCCUGGAAGGGACUGAGAAAGAGAAGCUCCCAUGGUUGAAGUUUACCCCCGUGUAAGUAAAAACACGAUCACCUGGAAAGUUCUUCCCUGAAUGCGAGCACUUCCCAUUUAAUUUUUCGAUCGCUUUGAUCGAAUCGAUAUUGAAGUUGGUGAUCGAUCGAGACUUCCAUGCGCAAAAAAUUUACUGCACGAGUGCUACAUUUUCUCUCCAUGGUUUUUAAUGGAUGUAUAGCUCAAGGAAAAUCCACAAAGAUCUCGCAUUGGAAAGUCCGUAUACAGGUUUAUCUAACGGCUAGGAACAGUAUCAAUUCGAUUGCUUCCGUUGGAUAAAGGCGCAUCUGGGGCCGUCAAGAGACGGGCAAUGACAGGCGCGUUUUUCUCUUUCCUCGCGGGAUCGCGGAUAGUGGUGCCCGACUGAAGCUCAUUUCUAGGGUUCCAGCUCCGGGCGACGUCAGGUACGCGCUUCCAGAUCGUCGGUCUAAGAUUACAUGUGUGCGGCAGUAGGGAGGAUGCGUCCCGAGUAGUUCUUCGCGAGAUCGAGCUCAGCUCUGUCAGUUCUAGGGUUCUAGCGUGGUUCUAGAGAUUAUAGCUCGUAGCAGCAACAGCGAGGAUGAAUCCCGCUCUGCCUGGGGCCGCGUAUAACAUCAUUCCUGUGCACGAUGUCUUGGCGGAUCACGUCGCGCUACAUUUUCCAGAGGUACGGCGCGAUUCUAUUUUUCUAGCAAGAGCUUAGUUUUUUUGUGUAUCUCUCGUAUUGAUGUUUGUUUGCGUGUAGGUCCGGGCAGCUGUUGCCGCACUACAGACGGUGGGAGAAUUGAGGAAACCUCCCGGUUUUCAAUGGAGACAAGGGAUGGAUCUUCUCGAUUGGCUUCAAGGUUUCUUUGGAUUUCAGGUGCGUGUCAUCUCUGAGGAGCUAGUUUGACUCAAACUGUUUUCCAGGAAGGAAAUGUGAAGAACCAAAGAGAGCAUUUGAUACUUCUGCUUGCGAACUCGCAAAUGAGAGUCACGCCACCGCCAGACCCCAUCGAUCGGGUAAGGUUACUUCGUGUGCUAGUUUCUGUCUUUCGUUCAUCGUGGUUUAAACUUGUGCAGCUAGACCAGAAGGUGGUAGUCAAGCUACGUAAGAAAGUGCUCAAGAAUUACAGACUAUGGUGCAGCUUCAUGGGACGGCCAAACAAACUCAAGUACUGGAGAUGCUUCAUUUAUUCUAACUCUUUACAUUUUUAUGAACUAGAGUAUAUGACGGAAGGGUGGAUGAGAGGCUGGAGCUACUUUAUAUAUCACUCUACUUUCUUGUGUGGGGUGAGGCAGCCAACCUUCGGUUUAUGCCCGAGUGCCUCGCCUUUAUAUUCCACAAUGUAAGUUCUCUCUUCCACACGUUUGUGGGCUGAAAUGGGGUCUCAGAUGGUUGACGAGCUGAAUCAAAUACUGGAAGACUACAUUGACGAAAUGUCAGCCAUGCCUGUUCGCCCUGUAAGCCACGGGGAAAAUGGGUAUUUGAAGAACGUGAUUACUCCACUAUAUGACAUCGUCAAAGAAGUGAGUUGAGGACCAUUAAGACCGUAAUUUUGUAACGUAUGUUUCACGGCAGGAAGCUGCGGCAAGCAAGGAUGGUAAAGCUCCUCAUUCGGCAUGGAGGAAUUACGAUGAUAUGAACGAAUACUUUUGGUAUGAAGUUCCUGCUAUGGAUAUCUAACAGUUUUCUUGCACAUGUUUACCUGCUCAGGAGUAACAGAUGCUUUCAACACUUAGGAUGGCCAUUGAACUUGGGAAGCAAUUAUUUUGUUAAGCCUGCGGUAUGCUAGCACUGUAAGCUGAACUUGUUAACUUACUCUUAAGUUUCCACAGGGCAUGCUGACACAUAAAGUUGGAAAAACUGGAUUUGUAGAGCAACGCUCCUUCUGGAACUUAUACAGGAGUUUUGAUCGCCUAUGGGUUAUGUAUAUACUUUUCUUGCAGGUACAUUGUGCACAUAUGUUGUCCUUUUAACAGCACCAUUUUGUACAGGCAUCAAUUCUAAUUACUUGGGAGGAAGCAGGGCCUCCAUGGACUGCACUACGACAAAAAGAUAUCUCGCUACACCUUUUUAGUUUAUUCAUUACCUGGGCUGGGCUCCGCAUCCUUCAAGGUAAACAAGAUCUUUGCAAGCCAUAUUGACGCUUGAUACUUGGGUUCAGCUGUGUUGGACAUUUGGAUGCAAAGGCGACUUAUGUCAAGAGAGACCAUGAUGUUUGGAGUAAGAAUGGUCUUAAAGAUCGUUACUGGCGUUGUUUGGGUUAUAGUAUUUGCAGUCCUUUACAGGUAACUAGAUCAGACUCUUAUCGGCGGGUUUACUAAACUUUUUGUCCGAGCAGUCAAAUGUGGCGCCAGCGCCGGCAGGACGGAUUUUGGUCGAACGCAGCAAACCAGCGGCUGAAAAUGUUAAUUGAAGCUGCAUUGGUAUUUAUAGCCCCGGAAGUUCUAGCUCUGCUGCUCUUCAUAUUACCCUGGGUGCGGAACUUCAUCGAGAACAAGGACUGGAAAAUCUUCAACUUGAUGACGUGGUGGUUUCAGGUAUGCUGAAUUCAAAUACGGAGCCUUUGCUGAUUCGAAUAAUGCAGACGAGGCUUUUUGUCGGCCGUGGGUUACGUGAGAGCCUUUAUGACAACAUAAAGUGAGUAUUUCUGGAUUCCUCCUACUGCUGAGUUUUGUGAUAAAAAUCAGGUACACAUUAUUCUGGAUAAUGGUUUUGGCGGCUAAGUUUUCUUUUAGCUACGCAUUCCAGGUGCCCCACAUUUUUAUCAGAAGCCAUUGUAAUCGUUUUUUUCUUUUUUUCUAAAACAGAUCAGUCCACUAGUGCGACCAACAAGGGCCACACUUCGGACUACAAACGUCGAAUACAGGUGGCACCAGUUCUUUGGAAGAGGUAUGCUGAUGAUAGACUUUUAGAGUGCAAGCUUACUCCGUUUAUAUUACAGGAAAUCGUAUUGCAGCGGUAUGUUUGUGGGCUCCGGUUGUGCUGGUACGUCUCUUUUCUGCUUGGAAUAUAAAAUUGACCGAGUUAGUUCAGGUUUAUUUUAUGGACACACAAAUUUGGUACUCUGUGUUCUCGUCAUUAGUUGGUGCCUUGAUUGGCCUAUUUUCACAUAUUGGUGAGGUAUGCGCUCUCUUUUGAAGAAGUUGCCACAUUCAUUGUUGUUACACUUCAGAUCAGAAGCAUCCAUCAAUUCAGAUUGCGGUUUCCUUUCUUUGCUAGUGCCAUUCAGUUCAACCUUAUGCCUGAAGAAUCACUCUUAAGGCCCAGGUACUUGUUUUCUGUAAUUUUGCCCACUGUUCUAAUGGGAGAACUUGCAUGCAGGUUAUGGGGAAGUUGGUCGGCAGCAUUUAAAGACUUGAUGCACAGGUUAAAACUUCGUUACGGAUUUGGGUCUCCCUACAAGAAGGUAAUAAACAGUUGCAAUAGGUAGUGUUCUAACGAGUAUUGACAGAUUGAGGCCAAACAAAUAGAAGAGCGGCGGUUUGCGCACGUUUGGAAUCAAAUUAUUAACACCUUCAGAGAGGAAGAUCUGGUUUCCAACAGGUAUUAGCAGUAGUUACGUGCGGCUACUAAUCUUUUUACCUGUAGCGAAAUCAAUUUGCUGGAAGUUCCGACUCCCAAGUGGAACAUCUCUGUGCUGCAAUGGCCAGCGUUUUUAUUGGGAAACGAGGUACAUUAGUUCGUAUGUGAUCUUAUUUUUUUCUUUUCUUUUACGAACUUCAUCUUCAGAUUUUAAUGGCUCUUGGGCAAGCUAGAGAUUGGCAGGAUACUGACAGGAGGUUGUGGAGAAAGAUUUGUAAAAACGAAUUCCGUCCAUCCGCUGUGAUCGAAUGCUAUGAAAGCCUGAAACAUAUACUUCUUCGCAAAAUUAUCAACGAGGAAAGCGAAGAUCACGCUACCCUGACUCGCCUGUUUGAACAGAUCGACAGCGCUCUUAGCCAGGGGAAGUUUUGCAACGAAUACAACCUUUAUGAGCUUCCUAACAUUCACUCGCGGGUAUUGCCUUUGAUAGCAGCAUUGUUAAAAAGGCCGACUCAGGAGGACACGAAAGAGGUUUGCCCGAGUUAUUUCCGUGCUUAAUUUUGUAAAAAGCAUGUUUUUCAGGUAGUAACGGCUCUACAAAAUCUAUUUGAUGUUGUAGUGCGCGAUUUUCCAAAGCACAAAGGUCUUCAAGACUAUUUAAUACCGCGGAGAAAUGAUCAACCACUUCCUUUCGUUGAGUCUAUUAUUCUACCAGACCCUGAAGACAACGAUUUCUUCCCUCAGCUGAAACGAGUACACAUUGUAUUAAGUACUAAAGAGUCUAUUUCACGUGUUCCGCACAACUUGGAAGCAAGGCGACGCAUUUCCUUUUUCAGUAACUCUCUCUUUAUGACAAUGCCUCGCGCUCCUCAGGUGAGUGUUUCUUGAAAUCUUGUUUAGCUUACUUCCUUCUUUCACAGGUGGAAAAGAUGUUGUCCUUUAGUGUUUUAACACCCUACUAUAGCGAAUCCGUUUUGUACACCAAGAACGAGCUCCUUGAUGAAAAUGAGGAGGGAGUCUCAAUUCUGUUUUACCUCCAAAAGAUAUUUCCAGGUUUCUGCUUUGCUGUUUCUAGACGCAAGUGCUGAACUUUCUUUUUCUUUUUUGUUUUUGUUACGAAGACGAGUGGAUCAACUUCUUGGAACGUAUGAGCAGUCUUGGCAUAAAAGAAUCUGAUUUGUGGACUGCGGACAAAGGUCUGGAACUUCGCCUUUGGGCCUCUUACCGUGGCCAGACUCUCGCACGUACCGUACGUGGAAUGAUGUACUACAACAGGUUUGUCGCACAUGUUUCUGCUGAUUGGUUGGUGCUCAGCCUGUUUAUACAGAGCUUUGCAGAUUCAAGCUUUUCUAGAUUCGGCAUCGGAAAAUGAUCUUCACGGCUACCGUGAAAUGCUGUCGCGGGCGUCAAGCAUGGCUGACGAUAGUAGGAACGGGUCACACGUACACCGAGACUCGUUUGGUCACGGACAAAGCGGCUCGCUUUACAAGGAGGAGCAAUACCGAGCAGCGUCAAGCUUGAAGUUCACGUACGUGGUGGCCUGUCAGAUAUAUGGCAACCAGAAAGCCAAGAACGAACACCAGGCAGAAGAGAUACUUUUCCUCAUGCAGAAGUUCGAAGCUUUGCGCAUUGCAUACGUGGACGAGGUUCCGGGACGAGACGCGAAAACUUUCUACUCGGUUCUCGUUAAAUACGAUCCUGCCAGCAAUCAAGAGGUUGAGAUUUACAGGAUCCAGUUACCUGGUCCACUAAAGCUAGGCGAAGGGAAGCCUGAGAACCAGAACCACGCUUUAAUCUUUACCAGAGGCGAAGCUGUUCAGACGAUUGACAUGAAUCAGGUAUGCUCUAUAAUAUUAGACAUAUUUGUGCUAAGCCUCUCCGUUUUUACAGGAUAACUAUUUUGAAGAAGCGCUGAAAAUGCGAAACUUGCUCCAAGAGUUCACGCGCUAUUAUGGUAUGCGAAAGCCUACUAUUCUUGGAGUUCGUGAGCAUGUCUUUACGGGAUCAGUCUCCUCACUCGCGCAUUUCAUGUCAUCUCAAGAAACUAGUUUUGUUACACUUGGCCAGCGAGUCUUAGCUAAUCCACUCAAAGUGAGAAUGCAUUACGGGCAUCCAGACGUCUUCGACAGGCUCUGGUUUAUCUCCCGAGGUGGAAUUAGCAAGGCUUCGAGAGUUAUCAACAUCAGCGAGGACAUUUUUGCGGGUUUUAACUGCACUCUCAGGGGAGGAAACGUUACUCACCACGAAUACAUCCAGGUUUGUGGCUAUUUUAGCAGUGACAUACUUACACCUCAUGUCUUCUGUAUAGGUUGGCAAGGGUCGAGAUGUUGGAUUAAAUCAGAUAGCUCUAUUUGAGGCUAAGGUGGCCAGUGGCAACGGUGAACAAACUUUGAGCCGGGAUGUUUAUCGCCUUGGACACCGACUGGACUUUUUCCGCAUGCUUUCUUUCUACUACACAACAGUCGGGUUUUACUUGAACAACAUGAUGGUGGUUCUGACGGUGUAUGCUUUUCUCUGGGGCCGAGUAUAUCUGGCUUUGAGCGGAGUUGAGCGUGGACUUCUGUCCAGUUCAACUAGUAACAGCGCUCUCACGGCAGCACUGAAUCAGCAGUUUAUCGUGCAGCUGGGACUUUUCACUGCGCUCCCAAUGAUUGUGGAGAACUCCAUUGAGCGAGGAUUCUCAAAGGCCGUCUGGGACUUUUUUACUAUCCAGCUUCAACUAGCCUCUAUGUUUUUCACAUUUUCUAUGGGCACCAAGACUCACUAUUUUGGAAGAACUCUUCUUCAUGGCGGUGCCAAGGUAAUUCAGUUUUACGCAUUGUGUGGCUUGCCGUUUAAUAGUGUUGUUUUUCUGGAUGCAGUAUCGUGCAACCGGACGAGGAUUUGUUGUGAAGCACGAGCGGUUUGCGGAGAACUACAGGCUCUACUCAAGAAGCCACUUCAUCAAAGGCCUCGAACUCGCCCUUCUCCUGGUCGUUUACGAGGCAUACGGUUCCUUCAGCAAGGACACAGUGGUCUACAUUCUUCUCACAUUCUCAAGCUGGUUCUUGGCACUGACAUGGAUCCUGGCACCAUUCGUUUUCAACCCGUCGGGAUUCGACUGGCUCAAAACCGUGGACGACUACGAGGAUUUCUUCAACUGGGUGUUCUACAGAGGAGGGGUCCUGGUAAAGGCUGACCAGAGCUGGGAAUCUUGGUGGGACGAAGAGCAGGAUCAUUUGCGAACGACAGGCAUAUGGGGAAAAGUUUUCGAGGUGAUCCUCUCCCUGCGCUUCUUCUUCUUCCAAUACGGCAUUGUCUACCAGCUUGGCAUCGCGAACCACAGCACCAGUAUAUUGGUUUAUCUCCUCUCGUGGAUAUACGUCGUGGUGGCGUUCUUGCUUCAUAAGAUACUAUCCUUCGCUCACGAGAAGUACGCGACGAGGGAGCACCUCACUUACAGAGCAAUCCAGGCAUUCGCGUUGUUCUUCUCGGUGCUGGUGCUCAUCGUCCUCAUCGAGCUUACAAGCUUUAGAUUCUUGGACUUGAUCGUCAGCUUGCUGGCUUUCCUCCCCACUGGUUGGGGACUGCUACAGAUUGCACAGGUGCUGCGAAGGCCUUUCCUCGAGAGAACAGGAAUGUGGCCAACGGUGGUGACGGUGGCUCGCCUCUACGAGCUCGGCAUUGGGAUCUUAGUCAUGGUUCCGACCGCGGUUCUAUCUUGGCUGCCAGGAUUCCAGGCAAUGCAGACGAGGAUCCUUUUCAACCAGGCCUUCAGCAGAGGCCUCCAGAUCUCCAGGAUUCUCGUCGGCAAAAGGCCAAAAUCUUACUGAGAAGAAGAUUAAAAGGUAUGUCUUUUUUGUGUUUUCGCUUCCUGAAGAACUAUCUCACAGUUUCCAGAUUGUGUAUGUAGUUAACGCGACUUUGAUAGGAAAAGAAUCACGCCUGUAAGUUCGUUUUUGUCUUAUUUCCAUCACACAUACUUCACACAACUUUCGUUUGUAUUGCCCGAGUCACCUUCGCUCUCGCUAGCCUUUUUCACUUUGGGGGCUUGACAAGCAGGCCCUUGCUGAGAUUUAUCAUCGGGUACGACGUCCCCUUGGGAGGAGGACCAUAGUUCGGGAAAGCAAAAGCUCCGAGAUGAUCCGGCAAGGUGUAGAUGGAGACAUCCUGGCUGGCCCCGCUUCCGCGGUCGUUCCAGACGAGCACCAGCGCCUCGGCAUCGAUGAACUCGACGAGAUCGCUCUUGACAAGGACCUGGCCUUGAACUUCCGAGGUGGUGGGAGGAGCUCGUCCACGAUCUUUCUUGAAGAAGGCCGGAGACAGGCAGUGGAAGCCGAUGGGAACUUUGUCCUUCUUGAUCCCCCAGACGGCGUAGUCGUCGGCGCGGCUGCUGCCCCAGAUUUGCUCCCACCACUGGGGGCCGCCAAGAACAGCGAUGGUGUCCUGGGCUCCCGAGAGGAAGGAGAAGGCCGGGACGAAGUAGUUUUGGAGGUGGCCGGCGGCGGGAGUUUGUCCCAGAUACUGGGGGAGUGGAUUCUUGAGCGCUGGCUUCCAGGCCGAGAGGUCCCUGUCGGCACGAGAGCCCGAAUCGUUGUACUGCUGCACUCCAGGAAUGUAGGAGUAGAAGAAACGCGCGUGGUCGGCUCGAGCAUCUAGCAUGAGAGUCGUCAACUUUAAGGAUUUGGGAGAGUUCUUUCUACUACACACGUACCUUUGGAUGUUUCGCUGGCCAUUGAGCAGACAAACAGUGACUGUGUUGGAAUGAAUGGAUUUCUUCUUUUUUAUUUAUGUGGAGUUGAGGUGAGGCCAGGUCCAGUUUUACGACUUAUCGUGCAAGGCCUCGCGCAUAUACGUAAAUGUCGCCAAAGAAAACUAAAGAAAACUAUGGCCGCCAUUGACAAGAGCAGGUUAAAAUAAGGUUAAAACAGUAUAUUAAUACAUUAAUUAAGUUAACUUAAACAAAUAACGUUUUCCCUCUGCCUUUUAAGCUUGAAAAUUAUAUUUUCUAUAAAACAAAAGUUUACUUUUAAAAGUAAAGGACCUGGAUAAAAGUAAAUAUGAAUUAUAAUAGAGCCCUAAUCAGCUAUGGCGUUGGCAGCAGGCCGUGCAGUCUUGGAGGCGCUCAGGAGCUCUCCCGGUGGCUUUGAUGCGGGUGUCCUCGAGCGAGUGGAGAUCAAGGCCGCCGACGCAGGCCGGAUCGUCUGCGGCAUUCGCGUGCCCGCCAAUCUCGCCGUAUGUAGUAAGAUCCGUGAUCCCCUCUCCGGUAUAACUGUGUUUGUAGAAUGGAUAUGGAACGCUCCACGGUGGAGCCAUUGCCACGCUCAUCGACUGCGUGAGCACCAUGGCGGUGCUCACAGUGGGUGGCACUAACACGGGCGUCUCGAUCGACCUCAGCAUCACUUACGUCUCGGCCGCCAGGAUCGAUGUGAGUUUGGAGUCAAGAGCAAGGAUCCAAGAACACUUAAACUGGUUUCCUUUUCUCUCCCAGGAUGAGCUCGAGAUCGAGUCUAAAGUUUUGAAGAAGGGGAAGAACGUUGUGAUGCUAUCGGCCGAGGUGAGGAGAGCUGGGAAGAAUGGCGAGAUUGUGGCGAGUGGGCAUCACACCAAGUUCUUCUCGCGGCUAUCGUUGUUUACCUCCAAGCUGUGAGUUUUACCUCCCAUCGAUCAUCUAGUAGAAAUAUCAUCUACGAUCUAGACGAUCUCUGGAGCGUAAGAAAGACAAGUAUGGAGAGAGAACACAAAUGAAAGAAUUUGUUUCUCUGGCAAUCCUGGAGUGUAAAACUCAAACACAAUGCUCGAGAAAAAGUUUUUUGAGAAACACGAAGUGUUAUGCUUCUACAGGAAAACAAAGAUCUAACAAACAAAUUAAAAAACUAGAGAGUUUGUAACAUUUUGCUUUCCUCUCUUGUUGCCGAGUGUAAAGUUAUGCUUUCGAUUGAGAUCAAAGCAAACUGCUUAAAGCUCACAAUGCGUCAAACACACUGAUGCCUUGGCACCUUCCCCGCCAAACACAUCACUUGGAUCAAACAGGAGUGAGCACAGACACUGACAGAUCAAAGGAGCAAAUGGAACAACAAGACGAGCACGACGCCCACAAGAACUUCGCCUCCAGGUACCUAUGCCAUCCCAAUCCCGCCAUCGCGAUCCUGACAUGGAUCAUCACCAUUCUCCUCGUCCUCGGCUUGCUCUUCGCGUGCCUGCUGCUCGUCACUUACAUCGCCUUCCACCCCAAAUCGCCCAAGGUCCACAUCCGCGACAUCGCCGUCCGGCACCUCGGGGCCGUCAUAGCCUCGCCCACCACCUUCUUCUCCACGGCGCUCCUCAAGGCGGACCUGGGCUUGAUCCUCGACGUGGCCAAUCCAAACACGCGCCUCAAGAUCCUCUUCGAUGACAUCCACCUCAACGUCUUCUUCGACGACAUCCGGGUGGGCGAGGCGGUGCUCGCGGGGUUCUCGCAGGCCAAGCGCUCAGCCCUGGCGAGCGUGGAGAAGGACGUGGAGUCGGACGGCGUGGUGCUGCCGCGGGCGGUGGCCUCCAGCUUGCUGAGGGCGCUGGCGCAGCAGAGGAUCUCCUUCCGGGUGGUGAUUCGAGUGAAGAUCCGGUUCCAGAUCGGGAAGCUCAAGACGCCCAGGCUGAAGUUUGUGGAGAGGUGCGAUUUGGAUGUGAGGCCCCUGGCCACCUUCACCAGGGAGAGCGUGCUUAGAAAGAACUGUGACUCUGAUAUCAAGUUAUGAUAUUGAAUAAAUUAACUAAAAGUAUCUUGAAUAUUCUAGAAAUAUUCGUUACACCCAGGUUUUCUAAAGGUUAACAUUAAUAACCAUUACCUGAUAAUAAUAUAUACCUGUUUUAUAUUCAUUUUGUCUAUUUAUCAAAAAUAUAAUGGAUGAGAUUAAAUUUUAAAACAAAUAUGAAAAGGAGUCUAAGUCUUUUUAUAAGUAUAAAUUAUAAUCACUGAAUUCAAAUAAAGAUCUUAAAUAAAAUUUAAAUUAUCUAUAUCUAUCUCAUGUGUGUGUGUGUAUAAAAAUCAAUUAGAUAAUUCUAUUUGUAGACACAAGCAUGGCUUCAUGUAAUUCUAAGUGAAAUUCUUCAUUAUUGUCACCAUUCACUUCCACCAUAUCUAGCUCUUGGCUAAUGUCACUAGAUCUGAGAGCAUGUUAUGGAAUAUUAUAAACCAUAAAUAUUUCUUAAUUAAAGAAAAUUAAAUUCCAAUUUUAUUUGUCUAUCAAAGACAUCACCUUUCAUGUUCAAACAUUUCAAACAGUUUAAUUUAUUUCUUUGAAAUUACAAGUAUUAAAAGGCAUGGAUAAAAGUCAGAAAUUUCUUCCACUGACUUCUUUGUAAUCUUUCCUUUUUUGUUUGCCAUUAAAAAUCAGUACAUCAAUUUGAGUAUAUACUUUUUAUUAAUGCUAUUAGGUUCUAUGUUUUUAAGUUUUGUUUAUUGCAUCCAGGAAAGCUUUGUGGGCAAUAGCCACAGCAUUCUUCCAUCGUUGGUGAGAAGAGCAAUUUUUCAACCGAGCUAUGCUUCUACGGGUCAUAUUUUCGAUCUGGGGAGAGAACGCAGUGGCCUCCACUCCAUAUAAGAGAUAGUCCAGGGAUGAGGAAGAUCCGGGUGCUGCAGCUGAUGUAGCAGUUGUGGACUCAUCAUGAUCCGGCCACCAUAUGUACACAUGAACUUUACCCUUCGUCCUAGGAUUUGAAGAACAUCUGGUUGGUUUGAUCACGGCACUAAGCACUGGGAAUUUCUAAAGCUAGCAUCCAUUCUUUUUGAAGCAAGAACUUUCAGGAUAGAUGAAAACUUGGGCGCGACCACCCCUCGACCAGUCGAUUGAUCUUUUCCAGGAGCUAGCUCCAAAAGGAACCUUCUUCUUUUCUUCUUGAGUUUAUCUGCUUGGAUUGUUAGAGAACAAGGCAAGAAAAUGUACAAACCUGCUGGAAUGCUCUCUGGAUGUCGAAGAACUUGACCUUAAGAGACUUCUCAAUGUAACAAGGCGCUCAUAGAACAUGGACAGGUGCUAUUUAUGAUGAUUUUAUAUGAUGCACAUUUUGAUCUGUGAUAAUUGCUUUUCCACCAUACAUUUCCACAAAAAGAUCAUGAGCACCCGGCCACACCUGUAAGCUUUGGCACACUCUGAUGGUGAAAGGAUAUAUAAACUUGUGCAAGGAUGUACAAACUUGUACUGAAAAAGCACAUACAUAAACAAAAUCUACAUUUCAACACAAAAGUUCUAGUGACUCUUUAAAUUUUCGAGUUUGAUUUCAGACAAAACCAUAUGCUUAAUUAGAGAUUUUAACAUAAAAAAAAAC
rnacentral:lncRNA from 1 species